UAUCUGAGAGCUGACACACCCAA
rnacentral:piRNA from 1 species